rnacentral:rRNA from 1 species
AGUAGUUUGAUCCUGGCUCGAGGACGAACGCUGGCGGCGUGCUUAACACAUGCAAGUCGAACGGGGCGAUAGAAAGCUUGCUUUUUAAAGCCUAGUGGCAAACGGGUGAGUAACGCGUAUCCAACCUUCCCUUAACUUGGGAAUAGCCCGGUGAAAACCGGAUUAAUGCCCGAUGUGGUCCAGCGAGGGCAUCUGACCCGGACCAAAGAUUUUGUCGGUUAAGGAUGGGGAUGCGUCUGAUUAGCUUGUUGGCGGGGUAACGGCCCACCAAGGCUACGAUCAGUAGGGGUUCUGAGAGGAAGGUCCCCCACAUUGGAACUGAGACACGGUCCAAACUCC